UAAGUCAAUAUUUUGUGUGUGUGAUUUGGGCUAAAUAAACACAAUUUAUUUGACCAUUGUUGUCAUUUUAUACCCUAUUUUUGAAAAAUGUAAUUUAAACUUAACAAUGACAAACAAUUUUGGCGAUUUUGAUCGUUCCUCAUUCCAGUAAACAGUAAACUUCUCAUCUCUUGAGCAGAACACCUAUGAAAGCUCUCAAGCAGACUUCAUCAGAAGGGGGAAACAACCUAGAAAAGAAUAUUGCAUAAAGAUAAUAAAAAACUGGGAAGACACAAAAAGGGAGCAAAAGAAGAAGGUUGGUGGAUUUGGAUUAGGGAAUCCCGUGGUUGAAGUGGGGACAUGCUCAGGCAAUUUGUUUCCCAUUAUUUUAAUGCAAGGGCGACUUCUUCCAAACAAAACAGGAUUGCUGGCAGCCGAGCGGGCCUCUGGUCGGUGCCUGCGAAGUCAAGAUCUGAAGACUUCUCUCUCAAACUCUGAGUCAUAUUUAAACGGAAGAUAAGUCGCAAAAGACACUGAACAUUAAUCAUUAAACGUUAGAUCCUUAGGGCAUCUAUAAAUCACUGAGAGCCCCUUCACCUCCCAUUAAGGAGUGUGUGGAUCUAGCCAAGUCAUAAUUUCUACAUUCAUCAGAUGUUAUUGUUUUCUUUGAAUGCAGUGUAAUGAGGCACUAACAAAAUGAUACAAGCCAAAUGCAAGGAUGGAUACGUUUGUUCUUAGGGAAAAUAUUUGUGUGCAUUUGUUUUGCUGAGUGAGCCUUUUUUUUAAUUUGUGUAAAAAAAUAAAAAAAUAAAUUCAUAUUCUGAGCAAGAGUUGGGCAAUAUGUCCAGUAUUUUAUAUCAUGGUAAAACUAUAUUAAUUUAUUUAUAUACAUAUUUUUGUUUAUAAUGAUUUAUAGUUAUUUUUGUUGGAAAUUCGGCAAAAAUUGUUUAUGUAAAAAUGACUUAUAUUAUAUUAAUAAAUAUGUUUGAU